rnacentral:rRNA from 1 species
UACAGAGGUCUCAAGCGUUGUCCGGAUUCAUUGGGCGUAAAGCGCGUGUAGGCGGCCAGGUAGGUCUGCUGUGAAAACUCGAGGCUCAACCUCGAGACGUCGGCGGAAACCAUCUGGCUAGAGUCCGGAAGAGGAGACUGGAAUUUACGGUGUAGCGGUGAAAUGCGUAGAUAUCGUAAGGAAGACCAGUGGCGAAGGCGGGUCUCUGGACAGUUCCUGACGCUGAGGCACGAAGGCCAGGGGAGCAAACGGG